GACGAACCGUGCGAACGUUAUUCGGAAUCACUGGGCUUAAAGCGCAUGUAGGCGGAUGGGAACGUCGGAAUCUGAAAGCCCCCGGCUCAACCGGGGAAGUGGAGCCGAAACGACCUGUCUGGAGGGGCGUAGGGGGACCUGGAACUUCCGGUGGAGCGGUGAAAUGCGUUGAGAUCGGAAGGAACGCCCGUGGCGAAAGCGAGGUCCUGGACGUCUUCUGACGCUGAGACGCGAAAGCUAGGGGAGCAAACGGG
rnacentral:rRNA from 1 species